GACGAACGCUGGCGGCGUGCUUAACACAUGCAAGUCGAACGGAAAGGCCCUGCUUUUGUGGGGUGCUCGAGUGGCGAACGGGUGAGUAACACGUGAGUAACCUGCCCUUGACUUUGGGAUAACUUCAGGAAACUGGGGCUAAUACCGGAUAGGAGCUCCUGCUGCAUGGUGGGGGUUGGAAAGUUUCGGCGGUUGGGGAUGUACUCGCGGCUUAUCAGCUUGUUGGUGGGGUAGUGGCUUACCAAGGCUUUGACGGGUAGCCGGCCUGAGAGUGUGACCGGCCACAUUGGGACUGAGAUACGACCCAGACUCCUACGGGAGGCAGCAGUGGGGAAUAUUGCACAAUGGGCGGAAGCCUGAUGCAGCAACUCCGCGUGCUGGAUGACGGCCUUCGGGUUGUAAACCGCUUUCGCCUGUGACGAAGCGUGAGUGACGGUAAUGGGUAAAGAAGCACCGGCUAACUACGUG
rnacentral:rRNA from 1 species